GAUGACUUUCAAAAAAAUAUAAACAUGAGGAUGAUGACAAUGAUAUAAGAAUUCAAUAAAACAAGUUCAAGAAUUAAUUUAUUCAGGAACUAAUAACGUCCAAGUUGUCAACAUGAUACUGCUUUGUGCAGUAAAAUUCAAGAAUGCUCAGAAGAAUAUUUCCAUGAAAAGAUACUGGAUGAAGCGCAAAUAUCAAGAAUAUU
rnacentral:lncRNA from 1 species